ensembl:lncRNA
CUUCUCUCUGGGACCAAUUUCCAGACUGCACAGCAGUCCUGACAAGGUCAACAAGCUGGAGCGGUUUGGAAAAACACCAGAUUCUUUAACCUGGUAUUUCGUGCCCAGCAUCAUGACCUCUCUGGUGAUCCAGUGGUUAAGAAUAUGCCUUCCAAUGCAGGAGAUACGGUCCAGAUCUCUGAUCGGGAAACUAAGAUCCCACGUGCCUAGCAGCAACUAAGCCCAUACACCACAACUACUGAGCCCGUGUGCCGAAAGCCUGUGCUCCGCAACAAGAGAAGAGUAGCCCGCACGCGGCAACUAGAGAAGGCCUGCAAGCACAUAGCAGUGAAGACCCAGAGCAGCCAAAAAUGAC